rnacentral:rRNA from 1 species
AUUGAACGCUGGCGGGAGGCCUAACACAUGCACGUCGAACGAGUGGCGGACGGGUGAGUAAUGGCUGGGAAACUGCCUGAAGGAGGGGGCUAACUACUGGAAACGGUAGCUAAUAACACAAAACCUCAGAUGUGCCCAGAUGUGAUUAGCUUGUUGGUGGGGUAAAGACUCACCAAGGCGACGAUCCCUAGCUGGUCUGAGAGGAUGACAAGCCAGACUGGAACUGUGACACGGUCCAGAAUCCUACGGGAGUGAGCAGUGGGGAAUAUUGCACAAGGGGCGCAAGCCUGAUGCAGCCAUGCCCCGUGUAUGAAGAAGGCCGUCGGGUUGUAAAGUACUUUCAGCGGGGAGGCGUUACCCGCAGAAGAAGCACCAGCUAACUCCGUGCCAGCCGCCGCGGUAAUUC